rnacentral:rRNA from 1 species
AUACGGAGGGUCCGAGCGUUAUCCGGAAUCAUUGGGUUUAAAGGGUCCGUAGGCGGGAAUCUGAGUCAGUGGUGAAAUCUUGCAGCUCAACUGUAAAAUUGCCAUUGAUACUGGAUUUCUUGAAUUAGUGUGAAGUGGUUAGAAUGUGUAGUGUAGCGGUGAAAUGCAUAGAUAUUACACAGAAUACCAAUUGCGAAGGCAGAUCACCAACACUAUAUUGACGCUAAGGGACGAAAGCGUGGGGAGCGAACAGGAUUAGAAACCCUAGUAGUCC